UACAAGAAGAUAACUUAAUUCAUUUCAAUACAAUUUGUUUACUUUUCUUAUCAAGGAACUUUUUCAAAAAUGGUGGAUGUUAAAAAAUAAUCUUCAUCAACAUCAGAAGUCAACAGAUUCACCUAUUAUCAGUACACAACAUCAAGUGGAACUUAUACUACCUGUCUAUCAAUAGUAUUGGCAUAAUUAUCACCACCAACCCCAGCAUGGACCAAUCUCUCAUUCCAUCUUUUAGAGAACCUUGACUGAUUGGUGGUUUCAUGUGCAAGUUCACUUUUAAUUUCACAUGUACUUUUUUUGUUGCAGUCUAAAAUGUUUUAAAAGUAUUGAUCUGUUAUCGAUUUAACAUUUAACAUAUAUUGAUCUAACAAUUUGGAUUUUCGAGUGUAUACUGAUAACUGUUAUAACUAAUUAUUUUUUUAGAUUGUGGAUAUGAAGCACAUUUGAUGACACUAAUUAUAAACAAGGAGACUUUUUUAUUUACAGGUUCCAAAAUACAGGUUUCUAAAUUGGCAUGAUAGACUUUACGAGAACUCAUGUCAUUUCAAGAAAAAGGACUAUAGGCCUACAGUCAACAAAAUUCCUUGUUUGCUAACCCAUUGACUGUUACCCUUGAAUCUCCCUGUUUUUCAACAACAACAAAAAAAAAGAGGUUCAUAUUGUGAUCAUAUAUGCUAUCAUAAAUAUAUGGCCUAUAAGACCAAAUGUCUGGUUGUCACUCCAAAAUAAGGCAAUGACUACACGUUCAACGCGGAUUAUUCGUUUUGUCAUCGAAUUUGACUCAUUAUAUCUUCUGGAUUGCUCAGGAAACCUGAUUGGCGUUACCAGUCCAUUUAGGUAAUGACCGAGAAGAUGCGGCCUACAUGAACAUCAUUCGACUACCCAAGAUUGAAUUGAUGACCUUUAGUACUUUAGUCUAAAUUUCAUGGUCCUUCAUGGGUUCUUCAUGGUUUGUUUUAUUGGAAAUAAUAUUCCCGCAACUAUACUGUCAUUUGGACAUUUGUUAAAUUGAAUUAAGAAAAAAAAACCGAAAAAAAAUUGGAAUAGCAUUUAUACAUGUUUUACAUAACAUUUUUGCAGCUUAUGAGAACUUAUUGACAAAGAAAAGAUGUUUCUAACAAGGCUCAACUGUGUGCACAUCAUGAAAUGAAUAUGGGUUGAAAAUGUGUUUGCAAUUUAGAUAAGGUUGCAGAGGAAUAUUUUCAAAAAAGCCGACUGUCCUUCAAACGGUUUGAAUUGGAAGAUUUAUUCAUUCACCGAAGAAACAAGUCAAAUGACUCAAAUGUCAAUUGGUAUAAAACCCAUCCCCUAGCAACGUCAAAAUGCAGAAGGAAAGGCCAGUUUGCAUGUCCUUGACGCUCGAAGGUCACGGAGAUCGUAACGUAAAACGUGCCAUGAAAUGGUGUAGAAGAUGUAGACCCAUCCCCCAGCAACGUCAAAAUGCAGAAGGAAAGGCGAGGAAAGGC